ACGGAAGGCAGCAGUGGGGAAUAUUGGGCAAUGGGCGAAAGCCUGACCCAGCGACGCCGCGUGAGGGAAGAAGGUCUUCGGAUUGUAAACCUCUUUCAGCAGGGAAGAAGCAAGUGACGGUACCUGCAGAAGAAGUCACGGCUAACUACGUGCCAGCAGCCGCGGUAAUACGUAGGUGGCGAGCGUUAUCCGGAAUUACUGGGUGUAAAGGGUGUGUAGGCGGAGAAGCAAGUCAGGCGUGAAAUUUCCGGGCUCAACCCGGAAACUGCGUUUGAAACUGUUUCCCUUGAGAGUGGGAGAGGUAAACGGAAUUCCUGGUGUAGUAGUGAAAUGCGUAGAUACCAGGAGGAACACCGGUGGCGAAGGCGGUUUACUGGACCACAACUGACGCUGAGACACGAAAGCGUGGGGAGCAAACAGGAUUAGAUACCCUGGUA
rnacentral:rRNA from 1 species